rnacentral:misc_RNA from 1 species
AACAUCGCGCACCUGCGGGAACCUGCGGAGGGAUCAUUAACACAAUGAUAAUCCUACCACUUGCAGUAGGCCCUUCACUGGGCCGGCUGCAAGAACCACAGUUGGAAAUGUUAAAGUCCCUCCAACAGCAUCCGGCUGCGGCCGCCUGCCUGUUGGGCAAAAGGGCUUUAAGUCUUUUUCUUUUCAUGAAUCACAUGAAAGAAACUUGCAAAACAUAACCGUAUCCAAUACGAUAUGUUA